AUACUAUAUAAAUAUGUGCAAGAACAACAUGGAUGAAAGACUGAAUAGUUUCGGGACAACAUAGAAGAAGGUUUUCAUACUCUAACAUCAGUAAUGGAUGCUACAAACAUGGGAUAUAGAUACAGAUAUAAUAUAUUAUGUACCCUUUAUUGCAGGGUAUACCGAAAACAGAUACAACAGCCACCGGAUGACAAGUGAGCGAGCGGCCAUUGUCUCUGGCCCGUUAGAAAUUGUUUAUCAUGCAUUUUGUUCGAUUCCAGCGACUGAAUAAUGCAGCAGGUAGGUCGGUGUGUAUGGAAUGGGAGAAAGAAAGAGACACAGGCAAAUAAAUAAGCACGAGCACGAAAGCGGCAGAGUAGGAGUAGCAAAAGCAGAAUGGGGGCGAAAACAGGAAAAAAGGCACAAACAACGGACAACAGACAGUGCCAGACCAGACACAAAACCGUUCUGUAUUGCUUUGGGCGGCAUUCAAAUUGAAUAUUGAAAGCAUCGUGCACAAAACUGCCAAACGCUUGAAUUAUGCAUUAAUGAUGUCGUUGUCUCCGUCUCUGUCUCGCAGCGCCAUAGUGGACAGCGCCAGCAGCAAAGGGGCUGGGGACUGGACAGGGCAAAAGAAGGGUUUUGUCCGUCGUCAAAGCGUGCCAGCAGCAGAAAAUAGACAAGAACAACGGCACUGCGUCCUUCGCCACUUUUGUUCACUCUCCUGUCCCAUCGCCUCUGGCUGCUUAUUAAUUUUUUAUGCGUCUGCCAUUUUUAUGCACUCGCCGCAAGCAUUUUAUUUUCUCUAACCUCAGCUUUCAAUAGAUUUCCCUUUCAAAUGUUGUGCUGAAAGUUCAAUGAGCCCUAUCGAUGAUCAGCUGUCGAUCAGCAGCUUUGACUUUCCAGUGUUGUGAAAUGUGAAACCACCCAGAAAGAUAUUCACAAUGGCUGGCACACAAAAAACAAAAAUUAAUUACCCGCAUUUUGCGCGCAAAGAAGAAGCGCCUGCAGUAGAAGAUAAUCAAGGCCGAAAAUCAGGUGCGGGCUGCACAGUCAAAGCGGUGCGGUGGCUGCACCGAAUGUAGGUAACGGGUGCAGGCCAUGCAAAACUCAUUACAUACCGCAGAAACCACGCCGAUAUCACCCACGCGGGCGCACGCUGACCGCAACAUGCUGUAAUGCGUGUCCCCUCCACCACCACAGAAUUCGCAAUCGCUUUAUCAACAUUUGCAUGGGACAGCAGCACCAGGACAUAACCAGACCGGACCAGAGCCCCUAUACACAAUGAUGGCCAAGGAUUGGAGCCGGCGCACGACCAGGCCAAUACUUUAAGCCCAUGUGCUGAGUGCUGCACUGCCAAAGGACAAACUUAAUGUCAGCACGCUAAUCUGUCACUCACUGCGAAUGGAAUGGGACUGGCGCAGAGAUACGACUGGGAGCUGCGACAUGCUCUGGCUACUUAAGGAGGAGCACUAUGGAUGCGCUUCGCUCCGCCUCGCUGCACGGGACAGCGUGCGGCCGGAGGGUGGAGCUUGACGCGCUGCUUGACUUGCCAUCAGACACUUGCGGGACCACAAGCCAUCGCCAGGCAUCGGAUCAGCCCACGCCCUCGCCAGCGCAAUGGUAAGGGGGAGGACAAGCAAGCACAACGCGCCUUAUCAACUAUGCACGGCUUUGUCUCUAAACGAUUGUCUGCCUGUUCCUGCACCAUCUCUCUCCAACUCUCGGUGGCAACCUGUUUUCUGUGUGUUCGCCAGCAUCAGCACCGGUACCCGUACCCGUACCCUUGCCAGUACCCUUGCCAGUGCCAGCGUCAGCGUCUUUUGUUGCGCUUAAUGAAUUUUACGUAAAUUUUACGAGCGCUGAUUUCUGCCAGAGAGAACACUCCCCCCACACACUACGGGGUGGAUAACCACCCACCCAGGCUAUUAAUCUACACUUUAGCGGAAGCAACACCCCCAGCACCGCCCUGACAAGGGGGCAAGGCGACUCCUGCUGCUGCUGCUGCUGCUCCAUCCACUCUGCGUGUAUGCCUGUCAAGGAUCUGGAAAAUUACCACAAGCAUGGGUGAGAAGGGUUGGAGGAAAGCCGCUAACGCACUCGAAUCGAGUAAUUUUUGUCUAGCCCCCAGCCCUGGAAUGCAGUUUGACAGAAAGUAAGUACUUUCGAGUACUUUCUCUCCUGUCACACACACACACACACACAAUUGCACACUUUCUACUUUCUUAAUUUUUCGUCGGCCUCUGCACAGCGUUUGAAAAAUCGUGGAAAUGGAAAUGGACAUGAAAAAGGGCGUACUGCUAUUCAAGGAGGAUAAUAAUGGAGUUGUUACCACCGUCCACUUAACGCCAUUGGUCAAUCUAGAUACGAAGUUCCAAUGCGGCCACUGCGGCAAUAAGUACAUGUACAGCGGGCCCUUUAGCAACCAUGUACGUGCCUGUAAGCGUCGCAGCGAGUUGGAUGCGGACCGAAAGUCACAGGAGGACAAACCUAAGCUCAAGAUCUGUGAUAAGCGCGUCAGUUCUUCCGAUGAAAUAUCAAUGAAUGGGCCCAAAAAGAGGCGCAAAACCAAAGAGCUGACUGGAAGCAGGAUCCAACUGGAAAAGAAAACCCCGCGCACCAUUAAAAAGGUGCACACUUGUUUUUCCUGCCAGCAACCGUUUACUGAUGAGUUUGAAAUCGGGAAAAAAAGUCUACGCUAUUUCUGCAAUGAUUGUACCACGAAGAUCCGUAACGAAGAGAAGACAAGCGGACCCAUCAAGUCAAAGGUUCCAUUUUUGUGCGAGGAAUGUGGCAUGUCGUACAAACUGGAAGCUAAUUUAAUGCGGCACAAGAGCGUAUGCAAGGUGUUGAUAGAAAAUCGCUUACAAAACGAUUCAAUUUGUUAGUU